rnacentral:antisense_RNA from 1 species
CCAGCUGGAGCAGCCCAGCCAGCCUGCGCGCUCACUCGCUUGCUUGCGCUGGGCUUCAGGGCGCCCGGAUUUCUUGCUUCAAAACAGCUGCAUUUUUGGAAGAAAGUCCACAACUGACAACUAAGCAAAACCUUCCUGGUGGAUAGCAUAAAUCUGCUUUGUUGAAGCUGCUCAUUUGUCUGAUCUAUGAGUCCAGAAGAUGCAAACUCCCUUCCCAGCUUAUGCAAAAAUACUUCCAGUAAAAACAAGCCCUUUGGCCCUUUUCUUCUGUCAGUCCAGAUUUCAGCAUGUUCUUCGCUUUGUUAUUCAUCAUUUUAUGUAUUUGGACCCAUCCUCAAACAGACUUUAAACCGUUUAAAGGCAAGGAGGGAC